AUAAAGUUUGAUUUGAUUUGAAAAAUUGAUUUGAAGUUUGAUUUUAAAUGUACCAAAUCUGAAAUUAAUUUUUGCUUAGGGGCAAGCAAUAGAUUAAGUUUGGGGUUGUGAUGACUCUUCAUCAUAUGCAUAUUUUUCAUUAUUUUUAGUCUUAUUUAUCUUUUAUUCAUUAGUUAAUUUAAGGAGUUAUUUGAUAUAUUUUGUUAAUUUUAUUUCUUUGCUUUAAUGAAAUAUUUAUGUUCUUAUUUCCUUGAUUAAGUAGAGAUUUUUCGGAGUUUUGCGUUGUUACUUUGUUUUAAUGCAGUGUUGAAUUUUGGUGAGAAAUCAACAUGACCUAUGUGGAGUAUUUCAGUCAUAUCUGGAGUUGUAGAUGUCCCAUUGGAGUUAAACUAAAUGCAAAUGAAAGCUAUGAUCCAUAGCUACAACUUUUAUGAAGACCCCGAAACCAAAUUCGGACUCAAAAGAGGAGUAAAAUGCACUACACUCCAUAUAUAAGAUGUUGUGUGCUUGAAGCGCAUUUUGAGCUGAAGCCACUGCCAAUAUGCGCCUAAAGCGCGCGACACGCAGCAAAACACAUUAAAAUUCGCUUUUAUCACUUUUUAGAUAUCAUUUUGACUAUUGGGAAGUUGAGAGACUUGUGUUGUAGCAUAGAAACUCAAAGAUGACCGUUUCUAACACCAUCUGAGCAGUUUUAUCAAGAAUCGUUCAUGAAUCUUUCUUGUAAUUCUUCUCUAAUCUCUAUCAUUUCUAUCUAUGACAUGAGUAACUAAACCCUAUUUGUUAUGGAUGAGUGUAACAAGAUGAAACUCUUAUUUUUCUGAAUUGAUUUCUAGUUAUAUGAAUGAG
rnacentral:lncRNA from 1 species